CGGGGCGUAGCGCAGGUUGGCAGCGCGCUUGGUUUGGGACCAAGAGGUCGGAGGUUCAAAUCCUCUCGCCCCGA
rnacentral:tRNA from 1 species